rnacentral:rRNA from 1 species
UAGAGUUUGAUCAUGGCUCAGGACGAACGCUGGCGGCGUGCCUAAUACAUGCAAGUCGAACGAACUCUGGUAUUGAUUGGUGCUUGCAUCAUGAUUUACAUUUGAGUGAGUGGCGAACUGGUGAGUAACACGUGGGAAACCUGCCCAGAAGCGGGGGAUAACACCUGGAAACAGAUGCUAAUACCGCAUAACAACUUGGACCGCAUGGUCCGAGUUUGAAAGAUGGCUUCGGCUAUCACUUUUGGAUGGUCCCGCGGCGUAUUAGCUAGAUGGUGGGGUAACGGCUCACCAUGGCAAUGAUACGUAGCCGACCUGAGAGGGUAAUCGGCCACAUUGGGACUGAGACACGGCCCAAACUCCUACGGGAGGCAGCAGUAGGGAAUCUUCCACAAUGGACGAAAGUCUGAUGGAGCAACGCCGCGUGAGUGAAGAAGGGUUUCGGCUCGUAAAACUCUGUUGUUAAAGAAGAACAUAUCUGAGAGUAACUGUUCAGGUAUUGACGGUAUUUAACCAGAAAGCCACGGCUAACUACGUGCCAGCAGCCGCGGUAAUACGUAGGUGGCAAGCGUUGUCCGGAUUUAUUGGGCGUAAAGCGAGCGCAGGCGGUUUUUUAAGUCUGAUGUGAAAGCCUUCGGCUCAACCGAAGAAGUGCAUCGGAAACUGGGAAACUUGAGUGCAGAAGAGGACAGUGGAACUCCAUGUGUAGCGGUGAAAUGCGUAGAUAUAUGGAAGAACACCAGUGGCGAAGGCGGCUGUCUGGUCUGUAACUGACGCUGAGGCUCGAAAGUAUGGGUAGCAAACAGGAUUAGAUACC